rnacentral:tRNA from 1 species
ACUACCUUGGCAGAUUAGUGCAAUAAAUUUAGGAUUUAUUUAUGUAAUUUAUAUUACAGGCAGUA